CUACGGGUCGCAGCAGUGAGGAAUAUUGGUCAAUGGGCGCGAGCCUGAACCAGCCAUCCCGCGUGAAGGAAGACUGCCCUAUGGGUUGUAAACUUCUUUUCUGUUCCAAGAACGUGCCCUACGUGUAGGGUAGUGACGGUAGAACAGGAAUAAGCAUCGGCUAACUCCGUGCCAGCAGCCGCGGUAAUACGGAGGAUGCGAGCGUUAUCCGGAUUCAUUGGGUUUAAAGGGUGCGUAGGCGGCUUCUUAAGUCAGUGGUGAAAUCCUGCGGCUCAACCGUAGAACUGCCAUUGAAACUGGGGAGCUUGAAUACAGAUGAGGUAGGCGGAAUGAGUAGUGUAGCGGUGAAAUGCAUAGAUAUUACUCAGAACACCGAUUGCGUAGGCAGCUUACUAAACUGAUAUUGACGCUGAGGCACGAAAGCGUGGGGAGCGAACAGGAUUAGAUACCCCCGUAGUC
rnacentral:rRNA from 1 species